rnacentral:snRNA from 18 species
GGAUGUGAGGGCGAUCUGGCUGCGACAUCUGUCACCCCAUUGAUCGCCAGGGUUGAUUCGGCUGAUCUGGCUGGCUAGGCGGGUGUCCCCUUCCUCCCUCACCGCUCCAUGUGCGUCCCUCCCGAAGCUGCGCGCUCGGUCGAAGAGGACGACCUUCCCCGAUAGAGGAGGACCGUUCUUCGGUCAAGGGUAUACGAGUAGCUGCGCUCCCCUGCUAGAACCUCCAAACAAGCUCUCAAGGUCCAUUUGUAGGAGAACGUAGGGUAGUCAAGCUUCCAAGACUCCAGACACAUCCAAAUGAGGCGCUGCAUGUGGCAGUCUGCCUUUCUUU